UACGUAUGGUGCAAGCGUUAUCCGGAUUUACUGGGCGUAAAGGGAGCGCAGGCGGAGGCACAAGUCAGCGGUAAAAUCGCGGGGCUCAACCCCGCUCCGCCGUUGAAACUGUGUCCCUUGAGUGCGCGAAGGGUAGGCGGAAUGCGUGGUGUAGCGGUGAAAUGCAUAGAUAUCACGCAGAACUCCGAUCGCGAAGGCAGCCUACCGGCGCGCGACUGACGCUCAUGCACGAAAGCGUGGGUAUCGAACAGG
rnacentral:rRNA from 1 species